UAGCGUAUAUUAAAGUUGUUGCAGUUAAAAAGCUCGUAGUUGAAAUUUGGGCCUGGCUGGCCGGUCCGCCUCANCCGCGUGUACUGGANCUGGCCGGGCCUUUCCUUCUNNNGGGGNAAGCGCAUGGACUUCAUUGUCUGUGUCGGGGAACCAGGACUUUUACUUUGAAAAAAUUAGAGUGUNUCAAAGCAGGCCUUUGCUCGAAUACANUUAGCAUGGAAUAAUAGAAUAGGACGGCCCUCCUAUUUUGUUGGUUUCUAGGAGAGCCGUAAUGAUUAAUAGGNGACAGUCGGGGGCAUCAGUAUUCAAUUGUCAGAGGUGAAAUUCUUGGAUUUAUUGAAGACUAACUACUGCGAAAGCAUUUGCCNAAGGAUGUUUUCAUUAAUCAGUGAACGAAAGUUAGGGGAUCGAAGACGAUCAGAUACCGUCGUAGUCUUAACCAUAAACUAUGCCGACUAGGGAUCGGUGGAUGUUACUAUUUUGACUCCAUCGGCACCUUACGAGAAAUCAAAGUUUUUGGGUUCU
rnacentral:rRNA from 1 species